GGCGUGAGAGCGCGACCCCCCACAAUGGAACUGAGAAACGGUCCAUACUCCUACGGGAGGCAGCAGUGAGGAAUAUUGCACAAUGGGGGAAACCCUGAUGCAGCAACGCCCGCGUGAACGAUGAAGGCCUUCGGGUUGUAAAGUUCUUUUCUGGGGGACGAUAGUGACGGUACCUCAGGAAUAAGUCCCGGCUAACUACGUGCCAGCAGCCGCGGUAAAACGUAUGGGGCGAGCGUUAUCCGGAUUUAUUGGGCGUAAAGCGCAAGUAGGCAGCGUUGUAAGUUGGACGUGAAAGCUCCCGGCUCAACUGGGAGAGGUCGUUCAAAACUACAGUGCUCGAUGUUGGAAGAGGAGAGUAGAAUUCCCGGUGUAGUGGUUGGAAUGCGUAGAUAUCGGGAGGAAUACCAGUGGCGAAAGCGACUCUCUGGUCCACACCUGACGCUGAGGUGCGAAAGCGUGGGUAGCGAACGGGAUUAGAUACCCCGGUAGUCCACGCCGUAAACGAUGGAUACUAGGUGUAGGGGGUCACUGAAUCCCUCUGUGCCGUAGCAAACGCGUUAAGUAUCCCGCCUGGGGACUACGGCCGCAAGGUUAAAACUCAAAGGAAUUGACGGGGGCCCGCACAAGCAGCGGAGCGUGUGGUUUAAUUCGAUGAUACGCGAAGAACCUUACCUGGGCUGAACUACGUGGUAGUAGAGAAGCGAAAGCGGAUCGACCCUUCGGGGAGCCUCGAUAGGUGCUGCAUGGCUGUCGUCAGCUCGUGUCGUGAGAUGUUGGGUUAAGUCCCGCAACGAGCGCAACCCUUGUCGUUAGUUAUACGUGUCUAGCGAGACUGCCGGUAUCAAACCGGAGGAAGGUGGGAUGACGUCAAGUCAGCAUGGUCUUUAUGUCCAGGGCUACACACACGCUACAAUGGCCGGUACAACAGGUUGCUAUACCGCGAGGUGGAGCUAAUCCCUAAAGCCGGUCUCAGUUCGGAUUGCAGUCUGCAACUCGACUGCAUGAAGGUGGAGUUGCUAGUAACCGCGCGUCAGCAAUAGUGCGGUGAAUGCGUUCCCGGGCCUUGUACACACCGCCCGUCACAUCAUGGAAGUCGGUAACACCUGGAGUCGGUGACCUAACCGCAA
rnacentral:rRNA from 1 species